rnacentral:rRNA from 1 species
UCGCACCUACCGAUUGAAUGGUCCGGUGAAAUCUUCGGACCGAGACUUUGAUUUGUUUACUCAAAACGCUGUUUCGGGAAGUUGAUUAAACCUUACCAUUUAGAGGAAGGUG